UGCCAGCCGCCGCGGUAAGACGGAGGGCUCUAACGUUGUUCGGAAUCACUGGGCAUAAAGCGCACGUAGGCGGCUCGUUAAGUCGAAUGUGAAAGCCCCCGGCUCAACCGGGGAACUGCAUCCGAUACUGGCGGGCUCGAGGACGGCAGGGGUAAGUGGAACUCCAGGUGGAACGGUGAAAUGUGUAGAUAUCUGGAGGAACACCGGUGGCGAAAGCGGCUUACUGGGCCGUCUCUGACGCUGAGGUGCGAAAGCUAGGGUAGCGAACAGGAUUAGAUA
rnacentral:rRNA from 1 species